UAUCAAGUGGCUUCCACAAUAUCACGUGACUGAUGAAAAUACAAACCUCAAACUGGUUUUGCCAAUCAAUCUGAAAGUGAAAAUAGUUUUUAUUGUCAUGCCAUUAUUCAACGGUGCCAUAUCUGAAGAGUAAAACACACUUGAGAGUGAAACGUGUUUACAGUGAACUACGGUAAAAGCCAAAUGGGUGCGUUGGAUUUUUACAACCACUAUAAAUAUUACCAUUUUUUCUCUGUCUGCUUUGGUUUGGGCUGUGCACUGAUUUCCUACAGGCCGUUUUACUCCCUUGUGUUGCCUUUAGUUUUUGGUUUGUUCUUCACGGGGGUUUUUGAAGGUGUGGGUGCAAUUUUUGGUUUGCCAGCACACACUAAAAGAUGUAAGGGUGGACCGUACCAAUGGAAAGAUGUCUUCUGGGGUUACUGUAUGGCUUUUGUUGUGACCUUUCUUUAUCUGAGCUCCUAUCACGUUUAUACUCUGUCUUGUGGCAGUGGUCUUGCUGUGUUUGCCUUAAGAGCGUCGAUACGCAAAUGUAAUGCUCUAUGUAAAAGAAACUUAAAAAGAAAGCGUCGCUAGCAAAAUCGAACUUAGUGAGGUGUCCAUGUAUAUCAAAGCGAACUGUGUGAUUUCAUUGUAGACAUUUAAAUGAAUAUUGUUUAUUAUGUUGUUCUUAACAUAUUUGCUUUUCAAAAAAUGCAUUUUACAAAUGUCUUAAUUCAUAAUUUAUAAAGUCUCUUGCACAAACCAUGACUGCAUUUGUUAAAAACAAAAUACAUAAAAUGAAUAAAAUAAAGUAUUGUGACAUUAUUAAAAUGUAAAAGCUUUUUUUCUGGUUUAAAGGGCACCUAUUUUAACCCUUUUUCAAGAUUUAAGACAAGUCUUUUGUGUCUGCAGAAUA
rnacentral:lncRNA from 1 species